CGUUCUUUUUCUCAUUCUUUCUUGAUGUUCUUUUCUCUAUCAUCCUUUUGUUGAUGUUCUUCGAUGUCUGGGUGAGCCUCUUUCCUCCCAGAAGAGACCCACCCAGAAUUUUGGCGAUGUUAGUGAGGGCCGAAAGGUGGAUGAUGUUUCUUUGUAUUUUUCUUUUCUUGAUGUUGUUCUUUUAUUGCAGUUACUUUUCUUUUCCGAUGUUUUUUUCUGUUCUUUUUUCUUUUCCAUAUUUUCUAGAUGUUCUUUUCUAUAUCAUCCUUUUGUUGAUGUUCUUUGGUCUGGAUGAGCCUUUUUCUCCCCAGAAGAGACCCACCCAGAAUUUUGGUGAUGUUAGUCAGGGCCUGAAGGUGGAUGAUGUGUGUUUGCUUUUUCUUUUCUCGAUGUUUCGUUUCUAUAUUUUCCUUUUUCUGGUGUUCUCUUUCCUUUUCCUUUUCUUUGGUGUUCCCAUCACGUGGAUUGUCUACGACAUCUAACGGGCACCACAAGCCCGGGUUUGUUGUUCGGAGUUUGCUCUCCUAGGUGAACUGCCUACCACGGCUAACGAGCUCCACCUGCCCGGGUUUGUUGUUCGGAGUUUGCUCUCCUAGGUGAACUGCCUACCACGGCUAACGAGCUCCACCUGCCCGGGUUUGUUGUUCGGAGUUUGCUCUCCUAGGUGAACUGCCUACCACGGCUAACGAGCUCCACCUGCCCGGGUUUGUUUAGAGUUUGCUCUCCUAGGUGAACUGCCUACCACGGCUAACGAGCUCCACCUGCCCGGGUUUGUUGUUCGGAGUUUGCUCUCCUAGGUGAACUGCCUACCACGGCUAACGAGCUCCACCUGCCCGGGUUUGUUGUUCGGAGUUUGCUCUCCUAGGUGAACUGCCUACCACGGCUAACGAGCUCCACCUGCCCGGGUUUGUUUAGAGUUUGCUCUCCUAGGCAGAUUGCCU